rnacentral:tRNA from 1 species
GCCCCUGUGGCGCAGUGGUCAGCGCGCUCCGAUGCUGGCGGAGAGGUCCUCGGUUCGACUCCGAGCAGAAGCA